GCGGUGCAUAAUGCUCAUUUUAUUUUGUAGAAUUUAACAUGGACUAUUGAUCCUGUUGCACAAACGUGUCAGAGAACGCAUUUGCCAUGGGGAAAGAAACCACCGAUGAGGUGUAUUCCAGGUAAUGCACAAUAUCGCGACCAAAUCAAUAACCCUGGCGAUGUGCUAGUUAAUAGGUGGAGUUUUGACUCGCAGUUUCCAACGUUAAAUGGAACGGUGUCACGUGGAUAUACCAAUGACGGGUGUCUACCAACUAGAGGAGCAUUUAUUGGUACAGAAGACAUUAAUGGAGCACCCGUUGAAACAUUGUCCCUUGAAAAUUUUAACAACUUCGAGGUGUUAACUGAUGUUUCAAAUUACUUUAAUCUUCCUUCUUACUGUUAAAUUCAGCUUUGCAUUCGCCGAUAUAGUGGAAGGCGACUAAAGCUGCAAAACGAAGGGGCUUUUAUAAACCACAGAAGAAAAUUGAUGAAUAGUCAAUCUUAGGACAGGUUCAACUGGUUUUUUUUAAAUUACUCAUGUACCUUGAUUACUAAUUUUAAAUAAUUAAAAUUGACUUAAAUUAGCGAGGAUAACAAACUGUGGAGUAGUUUAAAGAAGCAACAAAAAAAAUUCUACAAUAUUAGAUUUUUGCACGUUGUACUCUGUAGUCUGCCUUUUGGAAAUGAAAAAAUUCACAUAAUUGGGAAGUAAAAAUCAUACGGUAAUUGUGAAAUUUAAGUCAUUCGCCGAAAGAAAAUGUGUGAUAUUGAACUGAUUUUUCUUAGAUAGAAAAAAGUUGUUUUACGAAAAACUGGGGAACGGCCGGUAAAUGAGAUACAGAUUGUUGAAUAUUAAAAACUGAGUGAAAAGGGUGUAACCCUUAUCUACACAUUUUAUACCAGAUUUUAAUUAUUUAAAAAUCUGUAUUCUAUGAAUUUUAACGUUCCUCAGAUUAUUUGUUUCUGUCUCAGAAAAAUCUGUUCCAGAACAUAAUAAUUAUUUUGUUUUCCUCCGUAGUUUGACUUUCAAUUUUUUGAAUGAACUGAUUAAUUGAUUGAUUGAAUGAUUGACUGAUUGAUUGAUUGGUAAUCGAAUAAAUCAAUGAUGGUUUGGUUAGUUGUGGGUUGAACCAUCAUUUUUUUUUUCUGUCUCAGAAAAAUCUGUUCCAGAACAUAAAAUUAUUUUGUUUUCCUCCGUACUUUGACUUUUAAUUUUUUGAAUGAACUGAUUAAUUGAUUGAUUGAUUGAAUGAUUGAUUGAUUGAAUGAUUGAUUGAUAGAAUAAUGACUGAUUGAUUGAUUGGUAAUCGAAUGAAUCAAUGAUGGUUUGGUUAGUUGUGGGUUGGACGAUCAUUUAAUUUGAUCUUCAUAAAUAGAGUUAUAGAGGUUACUGUUCAAAUUAUAUUUAAUGAUUUAAUUUAAAAUUGUUGUUAAUAAAUUAGUAGAUGUAAA